UGGGGAAUUUUGGACAAUGGGCGCAAGCCUGAUCCAGCCAUGCCGCGUGUGGGAAGAAGGCCUUCGGGUUGUAAACCACUUUUGUCAGGGAAGAAACGGCCUGAUCUAAUACAUUGGGUUAAUGACGGUACCUGAAGAAUAAGCACCGGCUAACUACGUGCCAGCAGCCGCGGUAAUACGUAGGGUGCGAGCGUUAAUCGGAAUUACUGGGCGUAAAGCGUGCGCAGGCGGCUUUGCAAGACAGAUGUGAAAUCCCCGGGCUCAACCUGGGAACUGCAUUUGUGACUGCAAGGCUAGAGUACGGUAGAGGGGGAUGGAAUUCCGCGUGUAGCAGUGAAAUGCGUAGAUAUGCGGAGGAACACCGAUGGCGAAGGCAAUCCCCUGGACCUGUACUGACGCUCAUGCACGAAAGCGUGGGGAGCAAACAGGAUUAGAUACCCUUGUAGUCCCUGAGCGGGCUGGCAAGGCGCAU
rnacentral:rRNA from 1 species